CCCAGCCGGCACACGACCGACCUUCAACGUUGAAAUAUGGUUGAAAUAAGGUCAGAUGUGUUUUGAACGUUGAAAUAAUGUUGAUAGAACGUUUAAUUUUGAACGGUUGAAAAACAGCCUGCAUAUGACAAGGCUUCAACGUUGAAAUGUGGUUGAAAAUACGUCAGUAGUUGCUUUAAUGUUGAAACAAUGUUGAAUGAUAAAUGGUUGAAAAAAGUUACAGAAAUCCUUGUACAAAUCAACGUUGACAUUUUUUUUAUCAUGAUCUGUAUGUUGAAUUAACGUCAUGACUUCACCCAAUAUUCAACAUGUUUGGUUACCAUGGUAUCGGAGGACUCGGCGCACGCGGCCACGCGCAGCGCUUCACUUCACUUAAUUACGAACACCUGACCUGCAGUGCAGCAGAAUUCAGAGACAUGUAACUUACUCCAGAGACGCACUAACUUGCACAGCAUUGAAUGGAAAAGGCUUUGUCCAUGUCCAGUUGAGGGGCAUCAAGAACACGCAGAUGGCCUAAACCUGUGUCAGACUGCAGUUCUGCUACUCCAUGCCAAGGCUUUUGUAUGGAUGUCUGACUACUACUGUGUUCUCUAAAGGUUUUCUGGAAGCUCCACUUGAGGGCAUCAAGGACAUACUGAUGGCCUAAACCAUGUGUCAACCUAGACAGACAGACAUCUAUUGCAGUUCUGCUACACAAGACCAAACUCUCUGCUUUUGUAUGGAUGUCUGACUAGUACGGUGUUCUCUAAAGGUAUAACUGGAGCAAAACAACAGCAUCCGUUACAGUGAAAUUUGUGUUCAUAAAAGAUAGUGAUAUGUGUAACAGGUCCAGUACAUUUGUCAUAAAGGUUAAAUCACAGUAAGUACUGUAAAAAUAACUUGUUUGCCUUUGCCACAACAGGUCAUGGUGUGUGCAUACUGCUUGUAGUAAACACACAUGCUGAUCUGAUGCGGGAGAGAUAUACGCAAACACAUUUGUAUUUACUGUUUUGUUUUGCCUCACUAAAGUGUUGUUGGAGCUUGGUAUGUUCACAGUUGAAAUCACUGAAGUCACAUGGAACGUUUUGACAAUGUGUUUUAUGCCUUAUCUUGACAAUGACCAUCUUG
ensembl:processed_transcript